rnacentral:rRNA from 1 species
AGAGUUUGAUCCUGGCUCAGAAUCAACGCUGGCGGCGUGUCUAACACAUGCAAGUCGCACGAGAAAGGGGAGCAAUCCCUGAGUACAGUGGCGCACGGGUGAGUAACACGUGACUAACCUACCCUCGAGUGGGGAAUAACCUAGGGAAACCUGGGCUAAUACCGCAUAACACUUACGAGUCAAAGCAGCAAUGCGCUUGGGGAGGGGUCGCGGCCGAUUAGCUAGUUGGCGGGGUAAUGGCCCACCAAGGCAAUGAUCGGUAUCCGGCCUGAGAGGGCGCACGGACACACUGGAACUGAAACACGGUCCAGACUCCUACGGGAGGCGAC